rnacentral:lncRNA from 1 species
CUAUUCGUCCCUUUUCCUCCUUUUGUAAGUUUGGGGCAUUUUUCCAAACAAAGAAAUACACUUGAAAAUAAACUUGUUUUAUACCAAGAUACUGCAAAUAUGACCUCGUAAAUAUAAUAUGAUAUCAUAUUAGAACAAAUUAAAAUAGGAUAAGUUACGCAUUGUUGGACGUUUCAAAUUAUCGGACACUAAAGGUUAAGUCGCAACAAUUCUUUAGUACCUCAACCGAAUAUAUCAAAAGAGGUUGCUAUGUAAUUUUGAUUUCAAGCAUAAAUCAUUGUUAUGGAUCCCUUAAGAGCAUUGUCAAUAGAGGGAGUUGAAUCUUGAAGUCAUUUAGAUAAAUACCUUUCAUUGAGGGAAAAAUAUGAGAAGACAGCAGAAGAUUCUUUAUCCAAUAUUAUGCUCAACCUCACCCAAUGGUUUAUUACCCAAUCAAUGCGAUAUAUUCGAACUAAUCAAUCAAUUAAGAACUCAAAUUAAUUCCUUUAUUAAUUGUAUAUUAUAAAAUUAAACUAAUUGAUUAAUAAAACUAUAAAUUAGACAAUAUGAAAACAAUCUUUCAUCAUUGAAUUAAUGAGAGACUGAAUUUAGCAAUAACGGAGUGGCAAAUUGUAAUUUAUUAGUUCCUUAAUCUUGUAGGAGCUCAGAGCAGUUUUUUAUUCUUAAAAUAUUAAGAGUUAUCGAGGCACGAGGUAGUCCAUUGACUUCCUUGCUUAUUAAUAAGUCGAACCAAAUCGAAAAUGAAUCUUCCAAGUUAGUGAAUGAAGCUUUUCUCAACAAAGAGGAUAACUUGUAUUAUGUACAAUAGUAAUGCAAAGAUGUCUAAAGGAUAUAGUGAUGUAUUAAUUAAUAUUGAUAAAUGAAACCAAAGAAUGUAAGAGUCAAUAAUAUCAACAUCAUCUGAAUAUAAAUGAUAACUUUUAACUGUUGAAGUGAAUGAAGGAUUUAGAGUUAGAGAUAACUCCUCUUCAUAAUUGAUCCAACAUAUUAUCAGGAUGAUAAUUAAUAUACAUUUUGACAUGGAAGAGUCUCAAUUAAAUAUAGGAUCGUAUUGGAAAUGAGGAUUUAGCUUUCUGGAGUU